ensembl:lncRNA novel transcript
AAACAACUUCAACGGCCUUUCCAUGCCCAAAGACACUGCAGCAGAGCCGUCUAUGAAUGACAGAUGAAAUGCCUUAGAGUCUUAGUUCCAAACCACCUCCCCGGACAGUCGGAAAUCCCACUGGCUGGAGGAAUAAAUAAAUUCCUUAUCUUGUCAAGGAAGCUCCUCCCAAGCUACAAAAGUUGCAGACAGCAAAGGGAUCAAGUGACCCCAGAGAUGAAAUCUGUGACUCUCUGGUGGAGCAACAUGAUAGUAAUAAACAAAGGUUGAGUGCCUGCUGUAUAAAGCAACCUCUGGAGUGCCUGAUAUCUACUAACUCUUUUAGCACCCACUCGACCCUGUGAGAUGCGUAUUACUUUAUUGUAUCUACCACUGUAAAAAAGAAUGAACCAAGCUACAGCAAUAUUAUGUUGCUUGCCCUGAGUCACACAGCUGAGUAAGUCACAGGAGUUUGUGCUCAUAAUGACUUUGCUAUGCUGAUGUUUGAACCUGGAACCAUUCAGCAACCCUCCAGCUAAUAUGGCUCCAUGCUCUACUUCUGGAAAAGCUGAGUUCCUGCAGCCUUGUCCUACAUCACCCAAAAGAGCUGGAAAAGAAUGCAGUGAGUUCCAUUCUAUUUGUUCCGAGAAUAGGAAAGCCACAUUGAAGCAAUAUCUUAAAGAGAAAUCUAUAGUUAGGAGUGAUGAAGAUUUGAAACAGAUGUCAGCAGAAAGAAAAAGGGAGAGGCACCAUGAUAAUUAUACUCAGUGAUGCUUUUUAAAUGACAUAUAUUCAGUUAAAUAUAGGGAGGUUUGCUGCUAGCCAUAUGAACAAAGCACAAGAGAAUUCCUGGAUCAAGGCAGACUUAAAGAGACAUUGAAAAAAAAACAAAAUUCAAAAUUUUGACCUAGUGCAGGAAGAAGUGCAAGUACAGGGGAAGUGGAGGGAAGGAGUGGGGAGGCUGGCACAGAGAUGGCACGGGCAGAUACGAGCAGAUUGACUCGCCAGGACUGUCAUUGGGCCACCGCUCUUAGCAGGAAUUUCACCAUUGAAUGACCUAAUUAUUGUCUUGGGAAAAACACAAGAGCUCCUGUCCAUAACAGGAUAACAGAUGUAUUUCAGUGGAGCACAGAAUAGGCCGGAUGGUGACUAGCAAGAAUAAAAGCCCAAGUGGACUGAAGAAUCCAUCCAAGAUAUGGUCAGGACGGGCUUGUGGAAAACUUGUGCAAUAAUGAGAAGAAAUGUUAUUUGUCACUACCUUUUUUAGGCAGCUGUGUGGAUAAACCUACUUUGGGGUAGGAGCUGAGCCUCAGGCCUGUGACCGCUAGAAGCCAGACUUGAAGCCAGGAAAGAGGCCGCUCUUCCCAGGAGUUGGGAGAAUUUGACUUUGGUGUAGAAUCCAAAAGGCGGGAGAGAGGGUUCCAGGGAGGAGCUGGGGGUGGAGGCUAAAAAAGGAGCCCUGGUUGCCAAAGCCAGGAGGUGACUUUACAGGAGAGCAGCAGUGACUAAGCCAGGAAGUGACUUUGCGGGAGAGCAGCAGUGACUAAUUCAGGAGGUGACUUUGCGGAAGAGCAGCAGUGACUAAGCCAGGAGGUGACUUUGCGGGAAAGCUGCAGUGAUUGUGAAGUUGUUCACAUACAGGGGGUCAUGGGACACCCUCUACGAUCUCCCGUGGGAAAUCCUCAGUAAGCACUCUCACUCUAGCAAUAAGCACUCUCACUCUAGAAAGCCCUUUUGGUGCUUCCAGUCACAUUGCCUGGCCCACGCUCGGUGAGAGCUCACAUGCGCUUCUGGUCCUGGCCUUCUCAGACGCCACAGUAGCUGCCCACCCUGCAAAAGACCUGGAAGGGGAGGGGAGCCUGUGCCACAGCAGCCAGAGGAUGAAUGUCCUGUCAUGAACAAUUCCUGGGGGCACUAUGUACAUUUUGUAGAAGUCCUGCCAGAAUGGAACCUUGCUGUCUACAGCAGCGACCUUGAUAACACAUCAUUUGAUUUUUCCUCCUUUUGUGACUCAUGCUUCUGCUACCUCACCCUGGCUUCCUGAGAUCACCUCCCAGAUGAACUCCCUGCACUGAAUUCUGGUCUCAGUUUGCUUUGGGGAGAACUCAAAACUAAGACAUUCACCACUGUGUUUGUGUGAGCCAAAUCUUCACAUCAUGAGCAGGCGCUAUGUCUGCGUUCAGCCAGACAAACAGCAAACCAGCAACUGCCCACAUGAAUACAGUCCAUGGACAAGAGGAGAGUGAUAGCUGAGCGACUUUGGGACUUGCUGUCAAAGAUACCUGUCUCCCUCUCUUUCAUUCUCUUUACCUUUCCAUCAGACUAUGUGGCUGCCUCAUUCCCCCGUGUCCUGCAAGCAAGGAUAUUAACUAUACAAACAGUCCAGCUUAAAACAAAAUGGGCAGAAUAUUUGAAUAGACACUUCACAAAGGAAGACAAACAAAUUACCAAUAAGUGUGUUAACAAUUCUUAACAUCGUUAGUCAUCAGGGAAGUGGAAAUUAAUACCACAAGGAGAAAUCACUACACACUAAAGUGGCUAAAAUGAAAAAGAGUAAUGACAUCAAAUUCUAAUCUGAGUAUAGAGCAACUGUUGAUGGAAAUAUAAGAUGGUACAGCCACUUUGGAUAUAAUAAAAUGAUGCAACCACUUUGGAAAAGUUUGGCAGCUUUAUGUAAAACUAAGCAAAUACCUUUGGCCCAGCAAUUCCACUCAAGCAAUCCUUCCCUAAAGAAAUAAAAAUAUAUAUCCGCCAAAAGAUUUGUACAAGAA